CGCGGCCUAUCAGCUUGUUGGUGGGGUAACGGCCCACCAAGGCAACGACGGGUAGCUGGUCUGAGAGGAUGGCCAGCCACAUUGGGACUGAGACACGGCCCAGACUCCUACGGGAGGCAGCAGUGGGGAAUAUUGCGCAAUGGACGAAAGUCUGACGCAGCGACGCCGCGUGUGGGAUGACGGUCUUCGGAUUGUAAACCACUGUCGGGAGGGACGAAUACGCCGCAAGGCGGGUGACGGUACCUCCAAAGGAAGCACCGGCUAACUCCGUGCCAGCAGCCGCGGUAAUACGGAGGGUGCGAGCGUUGUCCGGAAUCACUGGGCGUAAAGGGCGCGUAGGCGGCCUGAUAAGUAGGGGGUGAAAUCCUGCGGCUUAACCGCAGGGCUGCCUUCUAAACUGUCGGGCUCGAGCACAGUAGAGGCAGGUGGAAUUCCCGGUGUAGCGGUGGAAUGCGUAGAGAUCGGGAAGAACAUCAGUGGCGAAGGCGGCCUGCUGGGCUGUUGCUGACGCUGAGGCGCGACAGCGUGGGGAGCAAACAGGAUUAGAUUCCCUGGUAGUCCACGCCGUAAACGAUGGGCACUAGGCGUCGGGGGGAGCGACCCUCCCGGUGCCGUCGCUAACGCAGUAAGUGCCCCGCCUGGGGAGUACGG
rnacentral:rRNA from 1 species